rnacentral:rRNA from 1 species
AGCGAGGCUGUGAAGCGGAGCAAAUCUCAAAACCGGUCCCAGUUCGGAUUGUAGGCUGCAACUCGCCUACAUGAAGUCGGAGUUGCUAGUAAUCGCGGAUCAGAAUGCCGCGGUGAAUGCGUUCCCGGGUCUUGUACACACCGCCCGUCACACCAUGGAAGUUGGGGGCGCCCGAAGUUGCCUAAGAAAUAAGGUACCUAAGGCGAAACCAAUGACUGGGGUGAAGUCGUAACAAGGUAUC